GUCAAAUAAUCCUCUACAAGUGAUUGAGGAAGGAGCCUUUCAACACAUGACAGAUCUACAAGCAUUGUAUUUAAUUCAGACGAAUAUUCGCACAAUCAACAUCAACAGUUUUGGCUCUAAGUACCUGGAAAUAGCCCAUAAUUUUGGAGAAAACCUUCAAGGAAUUGAAGUAUUGGAUCCGGAGCGAAUUUUUCUUCAGUCUGCUGGUUACCGCUGUACAUCGGCUACACAUACAAUCUGGCAGUUCUGCUUCCCUUGCCAACAAGGAGAAUUCAAGAUAGAUGUUCGCGAACGUGGAUGUCGAAAAUGUCCACCAGGUGAGGCUAAUUAAUUAGUUAGAUUGUACCCUGUGUCCUAGUGUACCCUGGGUUCC